CCUCCUAAAGUUCAUUCUAAACCUAAUUGUAUCCGUACAGUAACAUCUGAAGCCCGAUAUGUAUUGGACACCAUGAAGAAAUCUGGAAGAACAUGACCUCCCAAUCGAGCAAACCGAUCCAUCUACAUUUUGUAAACUCCCUGCAUCUUCAUAUCGAUCCAAUUUCAACAAGAAACGGUUAUGGUAUAGGACAAGACUCGCUAAUGAUAAGCAUUCUUUAUCUUCCCAUAUAUGUUGCUUAAUGUACGAUUUGAAGUUCUAUUUACCGUAUUCCAUUAUUCAAUGAAUUGUGGGGUUAUUUGUUCUUAACGAAUUAAUUGCAAAACUUAUGAUGCAGUGUUUGCAAUCGAUUUUUAUAGAAAUCUAUUAGGAUAUGUAGUGCCGAUUCAUAUGUGUUCUGUUAGGGUUUUUGUUAGCUUUGGGGUGUUUGUGUGUUGGUGUGGGGUGGGGGGGUUGUGGUUGGAUCUUAAUAACUUGUAGACUUGUAAAGGCUUUUCCAUCUGGGCUACCUGUGUUUGUUAACAUUUGUAUUGGGUGGUUAUGCAGUGUCUAAAAAAUAUCAUGAUCAAUCAUGGUUAUUUUAACCACAUAUGAAUUUAUAUGAUUCGGACCAAGGAUCAAUAGAUUUAAGUCAGACGAGGAUUAUCUUGACAAUACUUAGUUGGGUGGUUACUUUUGUGAUAUCAAUUUCACUGGCAUAUCUUUGGCCUCGUUCAUGUGCAGCGACUUAUAUUGAUAAGGUUGAAUUCAUAGUCGUCAAGAUCGUAAGUGGUAAAGAUGAAUUACUCACGCUUACCUUUUCAGUGCAUUCUUUGAUAGGAAUAUCACAAUGUAGAUGCGCAUAUAGUUAUCUUUUAUUUCAUUUAGACCCGCGCAACAGUGUUUUUCGCUUUAAUAUGAUGCAUACAAUAAGGUACAAGACAUUAUGUAAACAAAUAAGGUUUUUGUACUGUCAACAGCUGGUUCAUGUUAGGUUUCAAUGAUCAGAUAUAACAUCAUACUCGUGCUGUUUUGGAUGAAUUAGUCUGUUCAUUUGUGAAUAUUAACAUACUAUGAAUUUGCAACAUUUUGUUGCAAUACGAGUUGUACCUGGUGCAUUUUUGUGGGUUAUGUUGUUUUAUUAGGCUAUAUGGGCGGUGGGUGCUUCAUCACCAUCCUAUACACAUGUGACCCCUUCUUUCUUUCUUUUGCCACAAAACUAACACAUAUCACCCUACACCGCCAACCUUCCGACAAAUCACAAAUGGCGCUUACCCAAGGGGUUCCGUUAGAUGUUAGAUGGUGGUUGAUGAUGGAAGUUAUGGUGAUAGCGAAGCUAUAGCGGUGGUGUUCAUGGUUCCAGUGGUGGUUGCGUGAGUUGUUAGGGUUUCCAAUGAGAGGGUUCCGAUAAGGAUGAUUAGAGGUCCGAUGAUGGCUUCCAAAGGCAGCAACAACGGUUUCACCUUUUCCAUGCUCAAGCUCUCAACUUGAAACAGAAGCAUCAUAAAACAAGACAAGCUUAAUUUACAAAACAAUAGGAUCAUCGAUGAUUACGAAAUGCAUGUUUAGGUGGUGACUCGAUCUAGAGUUCCAACGAAGUUUUUGUUAUCUGAGGGCGAUUCCGUUUACCAGGUCUAUGGUUGCAUGUGAAUUAUGGUGAUGUUCCGACCAGAUUCCGGUGAACUCUGACGACCUUGUAGAUGGCCGAUUGAGGUUACAAUGGUGGACUCUAACCUGAGAUCGAUGAACCAUGGGACUGAUGGCUCAGACAGGAGGAGCGGACGGCCACAAUAGGUUUUAUGGUCUUAGUUUACUCUAUUAAUUGUAGAUGGAACACGUAAGGUGUCACCUAAACCCCAAUUCUGUUGUGAUUGAUGGGUUGAGGCAAAUAUGUUUGCUUUCCUAUGUGUGCUGGUGAUAGUGGUGGUCGAGACAGCUACUCGCCGCUGGCCAGUAGAUUACGAAUUUUUGGUGUUUGCUUAAGUGGUGCAUAUGGUGUGUUUUAGAAGUUGGACUAUCUGAGGAGAAGUUGGAUGGUGAACUCGCCAAACCUGAGUCAACCCGGUCAACUAUAGAAACAGAGGGUUCGGGAAGAUUUGGUAAAAAAGAUUAUUUAUAUGCUGCUGUGGUUUGAAAGUUAUUGAUGGAUUGAGAACUAUAUGCAGAUUGUUGGAUUUGGGUAAAGGUUUUCAUGAAACAAGUAUAUUCACAAAUUCAAUGUUAAUGUUGUGUUCAACCAAAAUGGUUCUGAAUUGUUGAGCUUUUGAGUUUUCACAGGUUGCUUUUGUUUUUUUUUGAAUGACAAGGAACGAUGUGCCAACCACUGUGAGACCGGGUGUUGUGGCCAAGGUCGACUAAUCGACUGCCGCCAACCCCUUGGUUCUCACAAAUACGCGGAAACCCGACCUCCACCCGCCCAAAGGCACGACAGUGGAGUAAUUGGUAAAACCUCGCCUCAACUGGCGCCACCUGUAUUCACCUUUCACCUGGAUGUCGCAAAAAAUAAUGUGGAGAGUGGGAGUCGAACCUGGGUCAUAAGGAACACAAAGUCUUUCCCCAACCACUCCACCACUACCUCAUUGGCACAGUUUGCUUUUGUUGAUUGGUGGUUACAACUUCAAGAAAUGGAGCAUGCGUAACUAGGAAUUUACAAAUGAACAAGCAUUAAGAGAUAUCAAAACAGGGGAAAAGGGAGUUUACAAAUGAAGCUUUGUUAGUUAUUGGCUUGCAUACAACAUAAAAAAUGUUGUGACUUUGUUGGGGUAUUGCGCUUUCCCUAAGAAGAUUUUGGUGUAUGAAUAUGUCGACGAGAGUCUCGAUCAUAUCAUUCAUAAAGAUAUAAAAGCAAAUAAUCAUCUGUUAGAUAGUAAAUGAAGACCCAAGAUUGCGAACUUUGGCAUGGCCCGACACUACCCUAAAGAUAAAACUCAUGUCAACAUCCGUGUAGCCGGUAGCCGGUACCAAAGCUUGUCUUUGCCUGAAAAAGAAAUGGAGGGGUGUAAAGUGGUGGUGUAUGCUCUUCACUUAGUCCGUUCUAACGAUAUCACCGCUAAUGUUGACUCUGUGACAAGGUAAUAAAAGAAUUGAACCUUAAAACAAAGAUUGGAAGGGGCUUUUGACUAAUGAAAUCUUCAAAAGAAAAGACGCCAUUGCUAUUUAGGUAUAUAUAUAUUUUUGAACAAUAUUUUCUUAAUAUUGUUGGGAGACUAUUGCAAGAACAAAUGAUGAAGUACAAGCUUAUAGAUGAUGAGGCAAUACAAAUACAUGACAAAAAGGUAGAUGAUGCUUUCACAUAUAUGAUUCCGGAGAGGCUGAUGGAGUCAUUUAAAGAAAAUGUUGAAGUAGAGAAAAACUAGUUACUAGAAAUGCGUAAGAAGAUUUAAGAGGAUGACGAAAGAAAAAGCCGAAUUCGGAGCUAUGUAAAAAGAUACUGGCAACCAUCGACAAAACUUGGAAACUAUGAUGCAAAAUGUUAUCAAACAACUAGGUGAAGGUCGAGAUGAGUAGAAUGUUUUCAUUUUUCUAAAUUAUUGUAAUUGACACUUUGUGUUGACUAUAUUAUUAUUUGAGUUUGGACAAAUAUGGUAAAUUACACUAUUUGGCUGCCAAUGAGAUCUUUGUUUUUAUUGUU